AAUGCCCAAAAGUGGAAUGGAGCACUAACUGAGGGUUUUGGAGGACUUGGAAAAUCAAGAACCUACAGCUUCCAUUUAGUUUCCUCUCUCAAUGGAAGUAGCUUCUCCCUUGUCUCAAAUAAUUAUUCCUGCCUUUCCUGAGGACCCUGCAACUCUCUAAUCUGUAGAAGGUGAUGGAAGAGUUAAACUCAAACAGGAUGGUGAAGCAACGUAGAGAUUAACAGCCGGAAAGAAGCUACAACCACCCACGUACUAGAAAGAAGGAAGUCCAUGUUACUAGAACCCGUGGCCAGCCGGAGUGGAUCCAUAAAGUGCAGUCAUCACUGCAGCUGCAUUUCAGCUUCUCCCUUUUUCCCAUUGGCUGAAUCCAGAUGUGAUGGUGGGAGCUGGAACAGACAGCCAUGUUGGACCACAAGAUAGAAGAUGCAGUUUGAGGAUGGCAGAGCAGCAAGACUGAAGGGACCUGGGUUCCUGAUAAUUGCAGAGCUGCAAUGCUGGUCAUCUAGACUUUUAUAUGAAAGAGAAAUGAACUUUUAAUGUGACUAAU